rnacentral:misc_RNA from 1 species
AUAAGAUUCACCGAACAACAUUGCAAAGUUGGGUUUCUGCAGUUAGUGAUUUUGAUUCAACUCUAAGCUAGCAGCAACCCAUUUUUCAUCGCUGCAAGGCAAAACAGAAGCACCACUUGGAAGGUUCAUGUUUGCUUUUCGGGGGAAAAUGAAAAUCUUCUCGCUUGGCAAAAUACUGGUUCCAGCAUAUGUAUCAGAAUCAGCAGACUCAGCAACUGCAUCACUUGAAUCUGAAGCAACGAAUGGGGCAGCAGGACGAUGAUCCCUAAUAAGGGAAUAUGUGUUGGGUGCACUUGAACAUCUGUGUCUUUUUGCAUUUGUGUCUUCAUUUUGCAAACUUAGUUCUUCAAUUAUCAAUUUGGUCUUCUGCUGAACAACUAGUAGCGAAACAUCAGCAACAACACAUUUUGAACUGACUGGAAGGACCUGAAGAGGUUCAAAAGUUGACCACCUGUAACACAAAAGUAUGAAAUUGCA